GAUGAACGCUGGCGGCGUGCCUAAUACAUGCAAGUCGAGCGAACGGACGAGAAGCUUGCUUCUCUGAUGUUAGCGGCGGACGGGUGAGUAACACGUGGAUAACCUACCUAUAAGACUGGGAUAACUUCGGGAAACCGGAGCUAAUACCGGAUAAUAUUUUGAACCGCAUGGUUCAAAAGUGAAAGACGGUCUUGCUGUCACUUAUAGAUGGAUCCGCGCUGCAUUAUCUAGUUGGUAAGGUAACGGCUUACCAAGGCAACGAUGCAUAGCCGACCUGAGAGGGUGAUCGGCCACACUGGAACUGAGACACGGUCCAGACUCCUACGGGAGGCAGCAGUAGGGAAUCUUCCGCAAUGGGCGAAAGCCUGACGGAGCAACGCCGCGUGAGUGAUGAAGGUCUUCGGAUCGUAAAACUCUGUUAUUAGGGAAGAACAUAUGUGUAAGUAACUGUGCACAUCUUGACGGUACCUAAUCAGAAAGCCACGGCUAACUACGU
rnacentral:rRNA from 1 species